rnacentral:sRNA from 1 species
CCUGAAAAGAUUAGGUGAAACAGGUGGAUUAUAC